GCCGGCGUAGCUCAAUGGUAGAGCAGCUGAUUUGUAAUCNNUAUCCUUGGUAAGGAUAAGGUCACCAGUUCAAUUCUGGUGGUGGGCUCCA
rnacentral:tRNA from 1 species